UACGUAGGGGGCAAGCGUUGUCCGGAAUCAUUGGGCGUAAAGAGCGUGUAGGCGGCCUGAUAAGUCGGCUGUGAAAGUCAAGGGCUCAACCCUUGAAUGCCGGCCGAUACUGUCAGGCUAGAGUCCGGAAGAGGCGAGUGGAAUUCCUGGUGUAGCGGUGAAAUGCGCAGAUAUCAGGAGGAACACCGGUGGCGAAGGCGGAUCUCUGGGCCUUAACUGACGCUGAGGCGCGAAAGCUAGGGGAGCGAACAGG
rnacentral:rRNA from 1 species